AGAGUUUGAUCCUGGCUCAGAAUGAACGUUGGCGGUGCGCCUAACACAUGCAAGUCGAGCGAGAAAGGUCUUCGGACUGAGUAGAGCGGCAGACGGGUGAGUAACGCGUGGGAAUCUGCCUUUCAGUGAGGAAUACCUCCGAGAAAUCGGAGUUAAUACUGCAUACGUCCCUUCGGGGAGAAAGAUGGCCUCUUUGCUGU
rnacentral:rRNA from 1 species